GACGAACGCGGCGGCGUGCCUAAUACAUGCAAGUAGAACGCUGAAGGAGGAGCUUGCUUCUCUGGAUGAGUUGCGAACGGGUGAGUAACGCGUAGGUAACCUGCCUGGUAGCGGGGGAUAACUAUUGGAAACGAUAGCUAAUACCGCAUAACAGUAGAUGUUGCAUGACAUUUGCUUAAAAGGUGCAAUUGCAUCACUACCAGAUGGACCUGCGUUGUAUUAGCUAGUUGGUGGGGUAACGGCUCACCAAGGCGACGAUACAUAGCCGACCUGAGAGGGUGAUCGGCCACACUGGGACUGAGACACGGCCCAGACUCCUACGGGAGGCAGCAGUAGGGAAUCUUCGGCAAUGGACGGAAGUCUGACCGAGCAACGCCGCGUGAGUGAAGAAGGUUUUCGGAUCGUAAAGCUCUGUUGUAAGAGAAGAAACGAGUGUGAGAGUGGAAAG
rnacentral:rRNA from 1 species